AUGGAGCAGCCCGACUGGGGUAGUACCUCGACCUUACAGAAGAUCACAGCAAAAUAAUGCUGUUUUUAAACAGUAUUGUGUUCCUGUUGGUGAGUAAGGUGACCAGAGCUCCUGGGGGGAUUGGGGAUUGGGUCGGCAACGCGCUUGCGAUGCUUCUGGUGUUGCAGGUGUCUAUAAGCUACGGCAAUCGCUUACCAUCAGGUGAGCCGUACGCUUGUUUGCCGACCUAGUAACAUAAAAAAAAAAACAAUUUUUGAACUAAAUACGUUGGCGAUUUCCGUAUUUUGUUACUUUUCGAUUUAAAAUAAAAUCCUUUUUUCGGUUUGACAACUAACACAAUUAUUCUCACGAAACUAUCACAAAACUUGCACUAUUCUAUUCAAUACUCAAUUUACUCAUUCUUUUUUUUUAUACAACUGGAUCAGGAAAAAUAAAAUAAACACAGCAAGUUAAACAAAUGUUUAGCUGGUAAGCUGCUGAGCUGGUACGAACCCUCGAUUGACAGCAUCAUUAUAUCGGUGCAAUACAGCGCUAGCAUGAAAUUAAAAAAAAAUGUUGUAAAUGUGUUACCAGGGACUGUCCCUGGUAACUUCUUUGAUCUUGAUUUCAGCGUCAUCAAGACACGGUGUGGUGACACAUUGACAUGAUUAAACUGUCACCGCGUCCAUUUUCAUUAAAAAACAUCUAAUUUUUCACGUAAAGUCGAUAAAAAAAAAUUCUAUGAGGCGCAGCUGGUUAAAAACUUGCUCAGAAUUAGGAGCAGCGCGUCUUACGAAGUUACCCAAACUUGGACAAGGUCACAUUAAAAUAUUACUGUUCUCAAUUAGUGUUAUGUUUCUGUGGGGAAUAAGGCAGCCAGAGUUCCAGACGAGGGUGGGGCGUAGGCUUAGCAAAGCGCUUUUGAUGCACCUGGUGUUGCAAGUGUCCAUUAGCUACGGUAACUGCUUUCAUAGCGCAUAGCGGAUCAUAUGCUUAUUUGCUGUCCUAAAAUAAUUGUGUUUGCUAGCAAACGAAAAAAAUCGAUUUCAAUUACAUCGACAAGUAAUACAAUGUAUGUAUAAGUAGGUGAAAAAAUUAACAGACGUACUAGUCGCCACUACGAUUUACGAAGAUUCCCCUUCGAUUUCUCUGGGAUGCCAUCAUCAGAUCAUAGUAUCCUUAUUUUGACACAACCCUUGAGAUAUUUCCAUUCCAGCAAAAAAAAAUAAUUAUCAAAAUCUGUUCAUAAACGUCGAAAUUAUCCGCGAACACACAAAUAUAUAUACGGUCAAAUUGAGAAACCUUUUUUUGAAGUCGGUUAAAAAUUGUAAUUUUGUAAUUUAUUUUAUAAUUUAUUAAAAUGGAAAACAGACUGUUAUUAUUAAAUUGUUUGUGUAUAUUGUAAAUAUCUGAGUUUAACCGCCGAGAUCAAAUGCUUACGCUCGUUCCAUACAUCACGAGAUUUAGUUCGACCGAUAGACAAAUGUUAUGUUAUUAUGAAUAUAAAUAAAUUGGAAUUUUGUUAUGUUUGUUGUUUCAACUACAGAUGUAUUGCACUGGUUCUAAUGGAACUAAGUGGCCCUAAGAUUACGAACAUUUGUUUAAAUUAUUAUUAUUAUUUUUAUCAUAACUUUUAUCUUCUAUUUACGUUUCGUUGCUACUAAGAUGUUGUGCUCUUUUGAUUAAUUUAUUGUUGUUUUGAUUAAGAAAGAUAUAUUUCUCUUUAGAUUUAUUUAUAACUAGCUGCCCGGACAAACUUCGUUCUGUCAAAAGUUAAUAGUAAAUUUAAAAAAAAAAAAAAAAUUUUUUUUAAUUUUUUA
rnacentral:misc_RNA from 1 species